UACGUAGGGGGCUAGCGUUGUCCGGAUUUAUUGGGCGUAAAGCGCUCGUCGGCGGCCGUUCGCGUCGGAUGUGAAAGCUCAGGGCUCAACUCUGAGACGCCAUUCGAUACGGGACGGCUAGAGGUAGGUAGGGGAAAGUGGAAUUCCUGGUGUAGCGGUGAAAUGCGCAGAUAUCAGGAGGAACACCGGUGGCGAAGGCGGCUUUCUGGGCCUUACCUGACGCUGAGGAGCGAAAGCUGGGGGAGCGAACGGG
rnacentral:rRNA from 1 species